rnacentral:rRNA from 1 species
CCCGUACACAAAAGCGCAUGUGCUGUGAGCUCGAUGAGUAGGGCGGGACACGUGGUAUCCUGUCUGAAUAUGGGGGGACCAUCCUCCAAGGCUAAAUACUCCUGACUGACCGAUAGUGAACCAGUACCGUGAGGGAAAGGCGAAAAGAACCCCGGCGAGGGGAGUGAAAAAGAACCUGAAACCGUGUACGUACAAGCAGUGGGAGCACAGGUUUACCUGUGUGACUGCGUACCUUUUGUAUAAUGGGUCAGCGACUUAUAUUCUGUAGCAAGGUUAACCGUAUAGGGGAGCCGGAGGGAAACCGAGUCUUAAUUGGGCGUUAAGUUGCAGGGUAUAGACCCGAAACCCGGUGAUCUAGCCAUGGGCAGGUUGAAGGUUGGGUAACACUAACUGGAGGACCGAACCGACUAAUGUUGAAAAAUUAGCGGAUGACCUGUGGCUGGGGGUGAAAGGCCAAUCAAACCGGGAGAUAGCUGGUUCUCCCCGAAAGCUAUUUAGGUAGCGCCUCGUGAAUUCAUCUCCGGGGGUAGAGCACUGUUUCGGCUAGGGGGCCAUCCCGGCUUACCAACCCGAUGCAAACUGCGAAUACCGGAGAAUGUUAUCACGGGAGACACACGGCGGGUGCUAACGUCCGUCGUGAAGAGGGAAACAACCCAGACCGCCAGCUAAGGUCCCAAAGUCAUGGUUAAGUGGGAAACGAUGUGGGAAGGCCCAGACAGCCAGGAUGUUGGCUUAGAAGCAGCCAUCAUUUAAAGAAAGCGUAAUAGCUCACUGGUCGAGUCGGCCUGCGCGGAAGAUGUAACGGGGCUAAACCAUGCACCGAAGCUGCGGCAGCGACACUCAGGUGUUGUUGGGUA